rnacentral:rRNA from 1 species
CCGACGGUGAGGGGCGAAGCCCUGGGGCGCAAACGGGAUUAGAUACCCCGGUAGUCCAGGGUGUAAACGCUGCGGGCUUGGUGUUGGGGGUCCUUUGAGGGCGCCCAGUGCCGGAGAGAAGUUGUUAAGCCUGCUGCUUGGGGGAGUACGUCCGCAAGGAUGAAACUUAAAGGAAUUGGCGGGGGAGCACCGCAACGGGAGGAGCGUGCGGUUCAAUUGGAUUCAACGCCGGACAACUCACCAGGAGCGACGGUUACAUGAAGGCCAGGCUGAUGACCUUGCCUGAUUUUCCGAGAGGUGGUGCAUGGCCGUCGUCAGUUCGUACCGUAAGGCGUUCUCUUAAGU